UAAAAACCACGGGACGAUCUCCGAAAAAACCACUAGAAUAAUAUGAGAGAAUACAAAGAUAUCUUAAUUUGAGUACAAACUCAAAUUACUUCACCACAAUAACUAUGUGAUGGAACCCAAAUAAAACACCCUUCUAUUUGAACUAUCUUUCUCCCUCUCUAUUUUCUAAAGCUUCACAGAAGCUUUUCUCUCCCUUUUUAUUUCCCUCUCUCGGAUGGGAGUUUCUAUUGUUGCUCUUGGUAUUUCAUCCUUCUUCCUUAGCCUCCUUUUAUAGCCAAAUGAGGAGAGAGGUUGGCUAAAUUAUGAGGUAGGUAGAAAAGUAGAAGGUGGAGUGGGUGGGUGAGGAAACAUAAUGAGUGGGAGUGGGUGGAAUUGAUAAUGAGUGGGAGUGGGUGAGGACACCUUUUUAACUAACAA
rnacentral:lncRNA from 1 species